AACGAACGCUGGCGGCAGGCUUAACACAUGCAAGUCGAACGCCCCGCAAGGGGAGUGGCAGACGGGUGAGUAACGCGUGGGAACAUACCCUUUCCUGCGGAAUAGCUCUGGGAAACUGGAAUUAAUACCGCAUACGCCCUACGGGGGAAAGAUUUAUCGGGGAAGGAUUGGCCCGCGUUGGAUUUGCUAGUUGGUGGGGUAAAGGCCUACCAAGGCGACGAUCCAUAGCUGGUCUGAGAGGAUGAUCAGCCACAUUGGGACUGAGACACGGCCCAAACUCCUACGUGAGGCAGCAGUUGGGAAUAUUGGACAAUGGGCGCAAGCCUGAUCCAGCCAUGCCGCGUGAGUGAUGAAGGCCUUAGGGUUGUAAAGCUCUUUCACCGAUGAAGAUAAUGACGGUAGUCGGAGAAGAAGCCCCGGCUAACUUCGUGCCAGCCGCCGCCGUAAUAC
rnacentral:rRNA from 1 species